GAUGAAGAACGUAGCGAAAUGCGAUAAGUAGUGUGAAUUGCAGAAUUCAGUGAAUCAUCGAAUCUUUGAACGCACAUUGCGCCCUUUGGUAUUCCUUAGGGCAUGCCUGUUCGAGCGUCAUUUAAACCUUCAAGCUCAGCUUGGUGUUGGGUGACUGUCCGCUUCACCGCGGACUCGCCUCAAAAUUAUUGGCGGCCGGUACAUUGGCUUCGAGCGCAGCAGAAACGCGAACUCGGGCCCGUCGUAUUGGCUCCCAGAAGCUAUCUUCACAAUUUUGACCUCGGAUCAGGUAGGGAUACCCGCUGAACUUAAGCAUAUCAAUAAGGGAGGA
rnacentral:misc_RNA from 1 species